UGAAGAUCACUUGGCCCCACCUUCCAGAAAUCCUAAAUCACCCACAGAGGGCAAGUUUUGGCUAGGUCACCAAGAAUGAACCAGAAGCUGAGUCCAUUACUUCAAUUUUCACAUUAACCAGAAGGCACAUUGAAAAUUCUUUUCUUGAAUGAGAGACUGAAAACUUGGCUCAAGGGUGCUUCCGCUGGGUCUUCUCUUGAUAUGGCAUGUGAGGACCGAAUCCCAGCUCCCAUCUGCAGCCAUUCCUGGAUUAUACUGCAAGGGAGGCUAGAUUAGGAGUGGGUGGGGCGUAGAGGGGUCUGCAGAAACAGCAAAAGCAGCAAACUGGAGCAGGAAAAACCCAGAAAGUAUGUCUCAGAGACAGCCAGUGGCUACACGUACUAAAGAAAGGCACCUACCUGGAAGAGAAAGGGUUAUUAAGCCCUCCCAGAGUCACAGCGCUGACAUCCUCAGAAAGUCUCCAGCCUCUGUAGCAACCUAUGUUGUGCGUCAGUAUGGUUGAAAAACCUUCUUCUAUCAAGUUUAACAACUUUCCGGUGUAACUUCUGAGAGGCCUGAUUGCUUAUUCAUGUGGAAGCAAGACGCCCAGUUCGUUUUGCCCGUUUUUGCUACUCUUUGUUGGGUUUGGGAGGCUGUUAUGGUAGCCGCAAAUGGCUUCUCAAGUGACAUUUGCUGACAUUCAGUGAAGUACAUUUAUCAGUAUUCGCCAGCUCACCUCUACACAUGCAAUCCAUUUUGUUUUGUUCUUCAUAGCAAACUCCUUUCCGAUACCUGUGCCCUGAAAAUGAUAAAUGGCAAGGUGGCAUAUUUCUCAUGCUGCACUCAAAUGUCACUGUGAAAACUCUUUAAUGGACUAAGUGUAGCUUUUCACGUUACAACUUGUCAGGUACUGAGAAAUUCUAGAGUUUGUCUUUAAUCCACAAGUCUUUGGAACCACACAUCUGCAAGCAGAGACUAAUUAUAAGCUGCAGCAGUCAGACCUGGGCAAGCAGAAACCGAGGAGAAGACAUCUGAUAUCAGCUAAUUCUUCAUCAUCAUCAUUAUUAUCCUCAUUCCAUUUUUGCUCUGUCCUUUCCUACUCAGAGGAUAUUUGAGGUAUGAGCAAUCUGUUACUCUAAUUAAGUGGGUGACAGCCCGCACCAGGCCACCAUGCAGGCUUAUAAUCCACUCAUACACUCAACUUUCUCCAUAAUGGCUUUAUUCUUUUCCUCCAAGGUUCAAAAUCACCAUGACUUCUCCCCCUCAAAAAAAAAAACAAAAAAAAAAAAAAACACCUGACUGAAUCAUAACUCCUGGCUCCUAAAUAUUGGCCAUAAUUGGGUAGGCAAGAGGUAUCUAGUAUGUCUGGGUGGAAGAGUUCUUUCUCUUGUCUGCCUGAUGAUCCAUUUUCAGAACACAUGGCCAUCCUUCCAAUGGCUUUGAGUAUCACAUCACCACCGGAAAGACCUGUUUGUGUGCCUGUCCGCUGCCAUCAUCCUACUCCCAGGAUUGUGGCUUAUGGGCACUCACUCACCCUUGAACGUGGCUUGUUCACUCCAGUUCUCCCUUUCCAAACAUUCUCAAUCCCCUGGGCUAUGCCGCAAGGGGGAUUCAGACCUUGCCCACUGGCUAUGGUCUAAAUGUUUGUGUCUCCCUCACAUUAAUAUGUUGAAAUUCAACAUGUGACGUUGUGAGAAGGUGGGGACUUUGAGGCUUUAUUAGGUCCUGAAGGGAGAGCCUCAUAAAAGAGGCUGCCUUGUCCCCUCCACCAUAUGAAGUACCAUCUAUGAACCAGGAAACAGGCCCUCACCAGACAUCAAAUCUGCUGGUUCCUUAA